AGGAGAAGGGGCAUCUGGGAGGGAGGUACCAGGACACUAUGGAUGUCCUCUGCCUGGAAAUGGAGACCUGACAACAUUCCUUUAGCUUUCAGUCCAUCCCAUGCUGUCCCAUCUCCCUUCCUGUCCUGGCUGACAGCUGAUACCUUGAGCUGAAAAACAGACAGUGACACUGGCUGGCCAUGCAGAAAGCAGCAUGAGAGUGUCCCUUCUGUUCCAGGCAGGAAAUGGCUGAGGACCUGCUGUGCCCAAGACUCAGCCUCCAUUCAGAGGUGCUGAGGGAAUGCUGAAGUUCCGUGUUCCACACAACUUGCAUUCUGGAAGCUUGGCUUCGGGAAUGAGGGAAUGAAGGAAAGACAGACAAAUGCAUGGACACACAUAUGGUGAAACUGGGAUCAGGUGGUGUGGUGGUUUGAAUGUAAUUGUAUCCCAUAAGAAAUAGUACUAUUGGGAGGUGUGGCUUUGUUGGAG
rnacentral:lncRNA from 1 species